UGGAUGUCCUCUUCAGCCAUUCUUAUCUGGUGAACUAGUGGAAAAUGUGCUAGCCACAACUUCCGUUGGUGGCGCGCUAGUUUUCAUCAACGCCACCACUAUUUUUUUAAAAUUAUGUUGGCACUGGCGUAAUUGGUAGCCAGCUAUACAUGAGUAGUGCUGGCGUAAGUAUUAUGCCCUACGCCACUACUAUGUGGGUCCAGCUGUGCUGACCAGUUGGGAGAUUGUGUUGGCGUAGGAUUUAUAUACAUGCCAUAGAUAAAGUAUCUAGUCCCGUCAUACCCUUUUUGGGAACGCCAUCACUAAGUUCCAUUCUCCACAAAAUGACAUAUUAAAAAAAUAAAGUAAAAUACAUUCACUUCCAUCCGGCCCUGUUGAUAAGAAUAAUGACAUAUUAAAAUUGGGACCUCGCCCUGUCCACCAGUGCCGCCACCACUUCCGGACCUCGCCCGACGUCACCGCCGCUGCCCUUGGGACCUCGCUCGGUGUCGCCGCUCGUCAUCACCACCGCCCUCCGGACCUCGCCCGGCGUCGCCGCUCAUCGUCGCCGCCACCACCUCCUCCGGACCUCGCCCGGCGUCGACGCUGGUCGCCGCUGCCGCCACCUCCUCCUUAAGAGAAUGGCCCAUCCACCACCAUGUGGAAUAUGCAAGUAAAAGUGUGCCCUCUGCCUUGCAACUGGCGAUCUUUUUGGCAUCUACUUCCAAUAGUGCUAUGUUCCUUCGUCGGUAACAACAAACCUUCUAUAUAUGAAUAUUUAUGUUUUUUCUAUAACCAUUAUAGUUGUGCUUGUUUCUGUUUUUUCAUACAUAGAUCGUUCCAUGUAAUGUGAGGUUGGAAUUCAAUGAGCUGACCAAAGACACUGUGGUCUUCGAGGCCCCCGGGGGUCCCUACACUUUGGAGGUCGAAAAAGGACCAAUGAUGACCCAGCUGGGAGGAGAGGAAUGGGACCGUUUCUCGCCCACAACCAUCUCAGUAGGGGUGAAUUGAUCACCUUCUCCUUAAGAGGACAAAGACCCAGGAUGACUGUUGUCUAUGAUGCUCUCUUUGACCAUAGAAUGCAGUUGAACGACGAUGAGACCAACAACCUGUUGGACAAACUUCCAUCCCGUGAUUACUAUGUCGGGCUGCCAUUCGUGACCCGUCUGAGAAGGACCAAUGUAAACAUCUGCCAUAUCAUGAAAUUGCCUAAGAGUCUAGCUAUGAUUUGUGGCAUUGAGGCUGAUGAAGCAGGCUUUGUUGGAGUAUGCCUUACAACAACGGGCUCUGUCUCCACAUGUGCGUACGUAGCGGACACGGACGAUCGCAUUGUCUUAAGCGCGAUGGGGUGGAGGGACUUUCUCGUUGGCAAGAAUCUGCACGAUGGACAAGCUAUCAUAGGUACUAUCAGGAAAACCACACGCCAUGACUUGAGGAUGAUGAUCGUCAUCGACAUCAUUUAAAAGAAUGUGUGUGGCGUCCGGGCAUAUAUGUUGACAAAUGACUAAGUGUUAAGUAACCUUGUCGUACUGCAUGCAUGUUGACAAUGACUAAUAAGUAGCUAAAAUUGUUUGUGACAUCUAUUUAUGAUUGUCAUA